CACAAAGGUACAUCAUUAUUUAUGUAUAUACCAUUAUAGAGGACAACCAUGGGGUCAAGCCAUGUUUAGCAUAUACACUGUACUGUUCAAAAAUUUUGGGGAUAGUAAGAUUUUAUUUUUUUUUAAUUUAUUCAGCAAGGAGACAUUAAAUUGAUCCAAAAAUGAUAAAGACAAUGUUAAUGUUACUAAAGUUUUUUUUAUUUCAUAUACAUGCUGUUUGAUCUUUUAAUUUGUCAAAGAAUCCUGAAAGUCUAUCACUAUUUCACAAUUAUACUAAGUGUAAUGGUAUGUUCAGUUUUAGUUUUGUUUCACUGUGUUUCUGUUUUGCCUGCCUGAGUUCCUAGUAAGUUUACUUGAUUGUUAAUUAGUCACUCACACCUGUUUCUGUUCAAUUUGAUUACCCUCUCCAUGUAUUUAAGCCUUGUCUUUCUUUAGUUUUUUAGUUAAAUGUGGUUAUGUUCAUUAUUCUCCUGCGAUCUCCUGAGUUUUAGUUUGUGGAUUAAAUAAAGACUGUUUUUGUUCUCUAUCUCCUUCGUUGUGCAUAUCAAUACAGCCACUACAUGCCACUAAACAAUAAAACUUUUUCAACAUUCAUAAUAAUGAGAAAUGUUUCUUGAGCACUAACUACUCAACAUAUUAGAAUGAUUUCUGAAGGAUCAUGUGACACUGAAGAGUGGAGUUGAGUGACACUGAGGAGUGACUGUUUAAAAUUCAGCUUUGCCAUCACAGGAAUAAAUCACACUUUAAAAUAUAUUAAAAUAGAAAACAGUUAUUUUAAAGGGGACCUAUUUUCCCCUUUUUCACAAGAUGUAAUAUAAGUCUCUGGUGUCCCCAGAAUGCGUCUGUGAAGUUUCAGCUAAAAAUACCCCACAGACCAUUUAUUAAAGCUUGUCAAAUGUGGGUGUGAGCAAAAACAUUACGUUUUUGUGUGUGUCCCUUUAAAUGCAAAUGAGCUGCUGCUCCCUGUCUGCUUUCCAAAAGAGGGCGGAGCUUUAACAGCUCACUCUUCGGUUGCUCAACAACAACAAAGCUGGAGAAUCACAUGCAGCCAAAAUGACGAUUUUCAGUAAAGGUGUUCAGCCUCACAUUGUUCAAACCGGAGUCGGACACUGAUGAAGAGACUCAGGAAGAAGUUACAACUUUUAGAAUGCAACUGGAUGUUUCUGAAUGGUUAGUGGAUAAAUUUAUGUAGUUGCUGUGGAGUUGAUUCAACUCAUCGACUAGCAUGUGCCAUGAUGUUAAUCUGUUGUGCAAAACCUGUAUGGAUGCCCACUAUACAUAGCGUACCUGUUUGCCAUACACACCAGGCUAACGUUUAUGAAUGCUAUCAAAUGCUGUGAAUGGUCAGAUCCAAAAUAUCGCUCGGAGAGAAACGCUCCUUUUUUAGUAGUCAAGCUUGCCAGGGUCAACUUGCAGGCUAUUCAAGCUAACGAGACUCUAAAUAGUGUUCUGUGCUCAUCUGUGCAGCCAACGACAGAACAAUUAGCCUGCUUUGCUUGAACUUUUGCCAUGGCCUUAGAACUGGUACACUGUUUUCUCUUGCGAAAACAAAAUGACGGGUGCCGUGGGAGGAAAUGUGCAGAUUAAGUGGCGGUAAUAUUAUAAUAAGAUCCCCUUCCCACGUCACAAGGGGAGCAAAAUCUGAGCGGCUCGUUUUUUCACAUGCUUGCAGAGAAAGACUUGUAAAAAGUUACUGGGUUGUCCUUUUUCACGUUUUCUGCACUGUAAAAAGUGAUUCGUUGGCUCAACAUCUAUUACUUAUCAAGAUAAAUAGAAUAAACUCAAAAAUAUAUAUAUUCAUAACAUUUCAAGCUCUACUUAACAUUUUCUAGUGUAUGCAACACAAAAAUGUAAAUUAAAAGGUGAACAUAAGUGUAUUCGUAAAGUAAAUGAAAAAACGUAAGUAACAUCAACUAGCAUUAAAACUUGGUUAAAAUUAAGUAAACCUAACAUAAAAUUUUACGUAUUUGUGAGCUGCGUGAUAUGCAAAUAUUCUAUCCAGCCAAUAAGUGAAGCUGGAGCCAUUUUGAAGCGUGAUGUGGUGAAGACAGCGAGUACUCUGUCAGUGGGCUGUAUUCCUUAACCAGAAGCGCAACACAACAUUUUCUGAAGUUCGAUGUGGUGAAGACGGAGAUAAGAGUGGGGUGUAUUUGUAAACUGGAAGCACAACUCAACGUUUUCUGAAGCGCAAUGUGGUGACGAUGGUGAAAGGAGUGCGAACAUUUGUGGUGCAACAAUAGAAGGAUAUGGUGCAUCCUGUUUUUGGAGUCCAAUGCUGUCUGCGGAAAUACACAGAGAAGUUGAUUCAGUGUUUAAUGGUGUACAUCUCUGACAAUGCUGAUAAUCUCAUCAGGCAUUACCAGGAUAGCCAUGGUGACCUAAAGGAACUGGAACAGCACACACACUGAGGAUUAUCACAAAGGUGGCUUCAUGGACGAUCCUUUAGAGACUGUAACUUUCUUUUGGUCAAAUUGUCACUUUUUUCAGAAGAACUACAGUCAUGAUUUUUGGUUUUAGACUAUUUAAGUUGCUGUUUCCAGAGUAGUAUUGCAAUCUCUGCCAGAAAACCUAAAAUGCUUUAUUUUUGUACUGAUUUUACUAAUUGUACUAAUUGUGUGAAAACCUUUUGUUGAAAUGCUGUCCAAAAAUGAAGUAAAAUGCUGUUUUGUGUUUGUUGUAUGUUUUGCACUUAUUUUAAGACAUUCAAUGUUCUAGAGAAGUACAGUAAGUUUUAUUCAAUAGCUCAAGGUUAAAAUUAAUUAAAAUUUUAAGUUUGUUCAACUCAAUUGACUGUCUUUUUUUAAUGUAAAUUAGCUUAAAUGUUAAGUUAACACAACUUGCUAUUACUUGGUCAAUUCAACUUGUGUUUUUAAGUAAGAAUGUUGAGUAAACAAAUAUAUUUAAGUACCUAUAACAAAGGAUUUCUUGUUAGUUUUACAUAAAUUUGCUUCAAGUUGGAUUUACUUAAAAAGUGUGAUGCAAAAAUGGUGCAUAUGUAUUUUAAGUAAAUCCAACACAUCAUUUUUUACAGUGUGGGUUGGUAGAUGCACCAGGGACCCGAUUAUAGCACUUAAACAUGGAAAAGUCAGAUAUUCAUGAUACGUCCCCUUUAAAUUGUAAUAAUACUUCACAAUAUUACUAUUUUUACUGUAUUUUUGAUCAAAUAAAUGCAGCCUUGGUGAGCACAAAAAUUCA